GGGCACGUGGCUGYCCCCGGGACAGGCCUGUCCCCCACGAUGCUGGUGGCGGGUGGUUGCAGCUGCCACUUGCCCCACAUGCGCUCUGGGGUUGUGGUGUCUGUGGUCACCGCGCAGGGAGCCCUGAUGACGCUCGCUGCCAUGGGCCCAAAUUGUCCCGGUGCAGCAGGGASCCUGGUGAUGCCAUCAGGUGCUGCAAGAUGGAUGCCUUAAAAGCAGGGUUUGCUCUCAAUAACCUGGUUUUGCUGCCUCCAGGGAGCAGCAUGGGAGGAGGGUGYCCUGGCUGCCUGGGUCCCAGCUGCUUGCUGACAGCCUCCUCCCCAUAGCYGGCAUCAGGGGCAGCUGGGGGAGCAGAAAGCAGAUCCCUGGCUGGGCUCCUGGUGCCUCUGGCAGCCUCGGUAAUUCAGGGGGAAGGGAGGGUGCUCACACCAGGGCACCCCAGACAUGGCAUCUCCCCGGGGUGCCCCUGCAGGGGUGUGUGGAGAAGGGGGUGGCUCUGGUCUCAGUGCAGAGUGGUUGGGCCCUGAGGUGGAAACUCUUCCCGGGACACAGGAGCCAUGUCCUUGCUGUGGUUCUGCUGCUGUGUCCUCACCGGGGAGGGGCUUUUGUCAGCACAGGUGAUGCUGUGGCUGUGCAACAAGGAGACAGAAAGGCUCAGCUGUGAGCCUCCAUGAGGAGCACCGACACCCACCAGGACGGGUCGCUGUGCCGGGAGUUCAGGAAAGCUGCGGUGACCAGCACUGCCAUGGGAGCUGCUGCUGCCGGUGACGGUCUCAACCUGCGCCCAGUCAGCGUCGGCGCUGGAGCUGCGCUUCCUGGUGAGCCGGGGGACGUUUUCCCCCGGUGCCUUCUCCCUGAGGAGCCUGGGGGGUUGUGUCCCUGGUGAGUAACAGCUCCAGCCUCGCUGCCUGUCUCUGUGUCCUGGCCAGGGGCUGCCGACACCGCGCGACGGCCUCGCGCCUCCUUUCUGCRCUCCGCAGCGAAGCCGGGAGCACCACGAGGUUUGUUUCCUCCCGGACAGRAGCCGCCCGGCUCCCUGCUCGCAGCAGGACGAUGCCUCCRCUCGCCUCCCUCCCGCCCUGCGCGGGGCCCCGCUCCUGGCUGGGGACGACCUGCCUGCGCCCGCCUGGCUCUGGGCCUCCUUGGGAGCCUGCUGGGAGCACAGCRGGGGCUCCUCGCAGCUCAGCUCCGGCUCCUUAGGGCUCGGCCUCAUGACAGCAGUGGUGGUGACUGACAAGGUCGUAAAUCAAUCACUGUCACAGCUUGCGUAUUAAUAUCAUGGUUCAGUAUUCCAUACAUACUGCACAGUUAGUUUAUUAACAGUGUACAUACUCCAUACACACAUUGAAUAAAGAGUCCCAGUCUUGUACA
rnacentral:lncRNA from 1 species